rnacentral:rRNA from 1 species
CCUACGGGGGGCAGCAGUGAGGAAUAUUGGUCAAUGGGCGCUAGCCUGAACCAGCCAAGUAGCGUGAAGGAUGACGGCCCUAUGGGUUGUAAACUUCUUUUAUAGGGGAAUAAAGUGCAGUAUGUAUACUGCUUUGCAUGUACCUUAUGAAUAAGGAUAGGCUAACUCCGUGCCAGCAGCCGCGGUAAUACGGAGGAUCCGAGCGUUAUGCGGAUUGAGUGGGUUUACAGGGAGCGUAGGCGGGUUGUUAAGUCAGUUGUGAAAGUUUGCGGCUCAACCGUAAAAGUGCAGUUGAUACUGGCAUCCUUGAGUACAGUAGAGGUAGGCGGAAUUCGUGGUGUAGCGGUGACAUGCUUAGAUAUCAC